CAGGCCUAACACAUGCAAGUCGAGCGCACCUUCGGGUGAGCGGCGGACGGGUUAGUAACGCGUGGGAACGUACCCUUUUCUACGGAAUAGCCUUUGGAAACGAAGAGUAAUACCGUAUACGCCCUUUGGGGGAAAGAUUUAUCGGAGAAGGAUCGGCCCGCGUUAGAUUAGAUAGUUGGUGGGGUAACGGCCUACCAAGUCUACGAUCUAUAGCUGGUUUUAGAGGAUGAUCAGCAACACUGGGACUGAGACACGGCCCAGACUCCUACGGGAGGCAGCAGUGGGGAAUCUUAGACAAUGGGCGCAAGCCUGAUCUAGCCAUGCCGCGUGAGUGAUGAAGGCCUUAGGGUCGUAAAGCUCUUUCGCCUGUGAUGAUAAUGACAGUAGCAGGUAAAGAAACCCCGGCUAACUCCGUGCCAGCAGCCGCGGUAAUACGGAGGGGGUUAGCGUUGUUCGGAAUUACUGGGCGUAAAGCGCACGUAGGCGGAUUGGAAAGUUGGGGGUGAAAUCCCGGGGCUCAACCCCGGAACUGCCUCCAAAACUAUCAGUCUAGGGUUCGAGAGAGGUGAGUGGAAUUCCAAGUGUAGAGGUGAAAUUCGUAGAUAUUUGGAGGAACACCAGUGGCGAAGGCGGCUCACUGGCUCGAUACUGACGCUGAGGUGCGAAAGUGUGGGGAGCAAACAGGAUUAGAUACCCUGGUAGUCCACACCGUAAACGAUGAAUGCCAGUCGUCGGGCAGUAUACUGUUCG
rnacentral:rRNA from 1 species